AUUGGCUGGAGGCUGACGGAAGCCGGAUGAGGCCGAGCCGAGGCGGAGGAAGACUGGCUUUUACUCCCGUGAGAUCCGUGGUUUGAUGCGGGGUGGUGGUGGCGGCUUCUCGAUUAUGAAGGCACCAAAGCCUUCCGAGGUGGAGCCCCGAAGCCCUGUGGCCCUGGAGGGGAGGAGGGCCGAAAGCAGUCCGUGCGGCGGGAAAGCUCGGAGCUCUGGGGUUGGCGCUGCGGAGCUCGGGCGGAAGGAAGCGGGCUGGGGCUCAGUUUGACCAGAAACAGUGCCGGGUCUCGGGCACAAAGCUAUCCCGUUGGCACCUCCCCACGGCCACCCACGCCCCGCCUAGCUGCCCCAAGCGCUGCACGGGAAGCUUGGCACGCCAGGCCCUCGGGGAGAGCGGAACCAGAACAAGGGAAGGGGCAGCCUCCUCCGUGGAAGAGUACGGGGUAUACUAUGCAAACGAGACAAAAAGCCUCAGGACCACGGGGCCUCGCAUUGGCCGAGAUCCAGGUGACCACCCCUCAGAUGCCUGUCAGCUCGGACGUUCUAAAGUUCUGAUUCUUGCCAGACUGGUACGUCUAAAAGCAAGAUGGACAGGAUGUCUCUUCGAGACACUUUCGAUGUUUACAAAGGCAGAUGCGGAGACAUGACACGGACUUCUUCCGUCCUUGCCCCAAUUAUUAAACUUUGUAGGAAUAGGAGGAUGGCUCCUCUUUGGCCCCUAGAGUAGGGUAGAUCCUGGAAGGGGAGCAGUGAUGAGAUGGAAAGGGAAGUUGGAGAUGGGUGGUGGCCAGGCGAGGGGUCAGAUGAGUUUAUUGCUAUCUCCCCCUCCCCGUUUCCACCCCUUUACCUAAACAAGACCCCCAGUGGGAAAUGUGGGAGAACAGGAAGAACUGGUAUGGUUCUUUGAUCACACCACACCAAACACAAACUGGUUCUGCCAGUGUCGUGUACCCUACUCCUGGAUAAUUCCCAAGCAGUUUGUUUGGAGCAGCCCAUGUUUCAUUGCUUUUCUGUCUGAAAACAUUGUUUCCAAUCCAGUUUCUCCCCACUGCCCUUCUCACUCCCUAGUUUAACACUAAAGGUGAGGUGCUUCUGAGAACUGAGCUGAAUGACUCUCAGGGUCAGGAAGAAGGGGACACCGGCACAUCAUAGUUAGGAGUUGUUAAAGGGCGAAGAGUUCAUUUUAUUCCACUGCCUUCGGAGCCUGCUAGUGGAGGCCCAGUUGGUACAGUAAUACUUAUUCACCCAGCUGGUCAUCAGGGAGACUGAGGACAUCCUAGACGAAGCAAGAAUGGGCAGAGGCUGAAGGUAGAGGUUUUCUUUUUAUAUAUACAAGACACAUUAAUCCAUUAAAUUUGAGGACACAGUACAAAAAAAAACCACUUCAACUAAUUCAUCUGACAAUUCUGUUCAUAUUCAUGACUUUUUUGUUUUGUUUUCCUAAUAAUAAAAAGGGAGACUUAGGACUGUUGGGCUGAUGAUAUCUAUUUGGAGUCAGUCCUCUCCCCCAGCUACUUCCCACCACCAGGGUGAGUAGGAAGAGGAAGAGGAAGGCCAGAGCCCACAGCAAAGAGUUUCAUAAUCUUGAAUGCAGGGGUAGUG